rnacentral:rRNA from 1 species
AAACGAUGCCAACCAGUAAUCCGUCUGAGUUCCUUAAAUGACUCGACGGGCGACUUCCGGGAAACCAAAGUUUUUAGGUUCCAGGGGAAGUAUGUUUGCAAAGAUGAAACUUAAAGAAAUUGACGGAAGGGCACCACCAGGAGUGGAGCCUGCGGCUUAAUUUGACUCAACACGGGAAAACUCACCCGGCCCGGACACUGGAAGGAUUGACAGAUUGAGAGCUCUUUCUUGAUUCAGUGGGUGGUGGUGCAUGGCCGUUCUUAGUUGGUGGAGCGAUUUGUCUGGUUAAUUCCGAUAACGAACGAGACUCUAGCCUACUAAAUAGAUCGUCGGCUUACAAACGCUGAUGAGACUUCUUAGAGGGACAGGCGGCGAUUCAGCCGCACGAAACAGAGCAAUAACAGGUCUGUGAUGCCCUUAGAUGUCCGGGGCCGCACGCGCGCUACACUGAAGUGAUCAGCGUGCAUUUUCAGCCUACUCUGCCAAGAGUGGGAAACCCAAUGAACCUUCUUCGUGAUUGGGAUAGGAGAUUGUAAUUAUUCUCCUUGAACGAGGAAUUCCCAGUAAGCGCGAGUCAUAAGCUCGCGUUGAUUACGUCCCUGCCCUUUGUACACACCGCCCGUCGCUACUACCGAUUGAAUGUUUUAGUGAGGUCUUCAGACUGGCCGGCGCAGCUGCUCUCGUAGUAGCAGCGCUGUGUUUGGGAAGAUGCCCAAACUUGAACAUUUAGAGGAAGUAAAAGUCGUAACAAGGUUUCCGU